GUGUGUCUUGAGGGUUAAAGUUAGAUGCAUUCAUCUGUUUACCUCACCUGGUUUUGACGAGCAAUAAAGAGGAACUUCAAAAAAAAAACCUCACAAACGUCAUCAUUCUCAUAGACACCUGGACAAUCCUGCAACAGAAUUUCCACACGCACCAUUUUAGGACUUCGUGGCUGACUCCUUUUUGCUUCUUCUUCCUUCAUCUAAGAUGACCACCCCUUCCCUUCCUCCCGAAGAAAGAGGCAUUAACCCCAACCUGUCCACCUGCCGAGAGUCUCAGUGCAACAAUCAUGGUAACUGUGUGACUCCUACGGGUGGUGGUACAGAUCUAGUAUGUAACUGUGAUCUGGGCUACAAGGGUGACUCCUGCGAGGACACGAUCAAUGGGGCAUUAAGUGUACCUUUGACCCUGAGCGUGUUUGCUGUCCUCGUUGGCCUGGUGAUCCUGGCUUUCAUCGCUGCCAAGUUCCGGCAGAAACAAAAGAAGAAGCGAAGGAAACUACUGGAAGAAAAAGUCUACAGCAAUACUGCAUAAUGUGGAUAACUGUCGAACAGAUAAACUUUGGUGAUCAAAUUGUGACUACCACUAUAAGAAUUAUGCUGCAACAUCCCACAGACUCGAGCAAUAACUUCACAAACUGAGUGCAAAGGCGUAUGGGAGAGUUACUUCUUAUACAGUAUUUUUCCAUUUGUACAAAAAGUAUCUAUCUCUAAUACCGCAAGCCACAUGCUGAUUCAUUUUGUGCCUCUUCUCUGAAACCAACUAAACUGAUGCCAAUAGAGUCAUCCAGGCAAAACGUGCAGUGCAAAUGUCUGUAUUUUAAUCAACAUCAGCUUCCUUGAUCUCAUUUCUCAAACACUAAGGCAUGCUUCUGCAAGUAGUUUAAACUCUGACUCUUGUUAGUAAAACAAUACAAAUGUUCACCUAUAAUUUACCUUCUCUGAGGGAGCUGCAGUUUAGCUUAAGUAAAGCAAGUGGUUGUUAUUUUGACAGUGAAGGCUCCAGACAGAUGACAUUUACGAUGAUUCUGUAGACCGUUUAAUGGGAAUCUGAUAAGCCAGAAGCUGAUUUGACUCCGUCCAGUUUAUAUAUAUUUUAUUUAGAAAAUAUGCACUUUUUUUCCACUCUUGUGGUUUUAUUUCAUUGCUAUGUUACGUACAGCAGUUGCUGCUGGUAUUAUAUUGUUUCCCUU